CAGCCCUAAACGAUGCGCGUUAGGUGUAUCGGUGACCACGAGUCACCGAGGUGCCGAAAGGGAAACCGUGAAACGUGCCGCCUGGGAAGUACGGUCGCAAGGCUGAAACUUAAAGGAAUUGGGCGGGGAGCACCACAACGGGUGGAGCCUGCGGUUUUAAUUGGACUCAACGCCGGGAAGCUCACCGGAUAAGACAGCGGAAUGAUUGCCGGGCUGAAGACCCUGCAUGACCAGCUGAGAGGAGGUGCAUGGCGUAGUCGUGU
rnacentral:rRNA from 1 species